rnacentral:rRNA from 2 species
AGCAUAUCAAUAAGCGGAGGAAAAGAAACUAACAAGGAUUCCCCUAGUAACUGCGAGUGAAGCGGGAAAAGCUCAAAUUUAAAAUCUGGCAGCCUCUGGCUGUCCGAGUUGUAAUCUAGAGAAGCGUUAUCCGCGCUGGACCGUGUACAAGUCUCCUGGAAUGGAGCGUCAUAGAGGGUGAGAAUCCCGUCUUUGACACGGACUGCCAGGGCUUUGUGAUGCGCUCUCAAAGAGUCGAGUUGUUUGGGAAUGCAGCUCAAAAUGGGUGGUAAAUUCCAUCUAAAGCUAAAUAUUGGCGAGAGACCGAUAGCGAACAAGUACCGUGAGGGAAAGAUGAAAAGAACUUUGGAAAGAGAGUUAAACAGUACGUGAAAUUGCUGAAAGGGAAACGCUUGAAGUCAGUCGCGUUGGCCGGGGAUCAACCUUGCUUUUGCUUGGUGUACUUUCUGGUUGACGGGUCAGCAUCAAUUUUGAUCAUUGGAAAAAGAUUAGGGGAAUGUGGCAUCUUCGGAUGUGUUAUAGCCCUUGGUUGUAUACAAUGAUUGGGAUUGAGGAACUCAGCACGCCGCAAGGCCGGGUUUUUAACCACGUACGUGCUUAGGAUGCUGGCAUAAUGGCUUUAAUCGACCCGUCUUGAAACACGGACCAAGGAGUCUAACAUGCCUGCGAGUGUUUGGGUGGAAAACCCGAGCGCGUAAUGAAAGUGAAAGUUGAGAUCCCUGUCGUGGGGAGCAUCGACGCCCGGACCAGAUCUUUUGUGACGGUUCCGCGGUAGAGCAUGUAUGUUGGGACCCGAAAGAUGGUGAACUAUGCCUGAAUAGGGUGAAGCCAGAGGAAACUCUGGUGGAGGCUCGUAGCGAUUCUGACGUGCAAAUCGAUCGUCAAAUUUGGGUAUANGGGGCGAAAGACUAAUCGAACCAUCUAGUAGCUG